rnacentral:rRNA from 1 species
GGGUUGUGAGGUUAAGCGACUAAGCGUACACGGUGGAUGCCCUGGCAGUCAGAGGCGAUGAAGGACGUGCUAAUCUGCGAUAAGCGUCGGUAAGGUGAUAUGAACCGUUAUAACCGGCGAUUUCCGAAUGGGGAAACCCAGUGUGAUUCGUCACACUAUCGUUAAGUGAAUACAUAGCUUAACGAAGCGAACCGGGGGAACUGAAACAUCUAAGUACCCCGAGGAAAAGAAAUCAACCGAGAUUCCCCCAGUAGCGGCGAGCGAACGGGGAGGAGCCCAGAGUCUGAAUCAGCGCGUGUGUUAGUGGAACGGUCUGGAAAGUCCGGCGGUACAGGGUGAUAGCCCCGUACACUAAAAUGCACACGUUGUGAACUCGAAGAGUAGGGCGGGACACGUGGUAUCCUGUCUGAAUAUGGGGGGACCAUCCUCCAAGGCUAAAUACUCCUGACUGACCGAUAGUGAACCAGUACCGUGAGGGAAAGGCGAAAAGAACCCCGGCGAGGGGAGUGAAAAAGAACCUGAAACCGUGU